GUAGCAAUACAUCACCGGCGGACGGGUGCGUAACACGUGGGAAUAUACCUUUCGGUACGGAACAACUGAGGGAAACUUCAGCUAAUACCGUAUACGUCCUUACGGAGAAAGAUUUAUCGCCGAAGGAUUAGCCCGCGUUCGAUUAGCUAGUUGGUGAGGUAAUGGCUCACCAAGGCAACGAUCGAUAGCUGUUCUGAGAGGAAGAUCAGCCACACUGGGACUGAGACACGGCCCAGACUCCUACGGGAGGCAGCAGUUGGGAAUCUUGGACAAUGGGGGAAACCCUGAUCCAGCCAUGCCGCGUGAGUGAUGAAGGCCUUCGGG
rnacentral:rRNA from 1 species